AUUGAACGCUGGCGGCAGGCUUAACACAUGCAAGUCGAGCGAGAGGCGGACGGGUGAGUAAUGUCUGGGAAAGUGCCUGAUGGAGGGGGAUAACUACUGGAAAAGGUAGCUAAUACCGCAUACGCUCAGAUGUGCACAGAUGGGAUUAGCUAGUAGGUGGGGUAACGGCUCACCUAGGCGACGACCCCUAGCUGGUCUGAGAGGAUGACCAGCCACACUGGAACUGAGACACGGUCCAGACUCCGACGGGAGGCAGCAGUGGGGAAUAUUGCACAAUGGGCGCAAGCCUGAUGCAGCCAUGCCGCGUGUAUGAAGAAGGCCUUCGGGUUGUAAAGUACUUUCAGCGAGGAGGCGUUACUCGCAGAAGAAGCACCGGCUAACUCCGUGCCAGCAGCCGCGGUAAUUC
rnacentral:rRNA from 1 species